UACGGAGGGGGCGAGCGUUAUUCGGAAUUAUUGGGCGUAAAGAGCUCGUAGGCGGCUCGGUAAGUCGGGUGUGAAACCUCCAGGCUCAACCUGGAGACGCCACCCGAUACUGCUGUGGCUAGAGUCCGGUAGGGGAGCGUGGAAUUCCUGGUGUAGCGGUGAAAUGCGCAGAUAUCAGGAGGAACACCAGCGGCGAAGGCGGCGCUCUGGGCCGGAACUGACGCUGAGGAGCGAAAGCGUGGGUAGCAAACAGG
rnacentral:rRNA from 1 species